rnacentral:rRNA from 1 species
ACCGUAAAAGUGAAGAAACUUGGUUUUUAUNUUGGAGAAUCUUUUUUNNNNNAGAAAAGAUAAAUUUUUUAANUAAGUUAAAAUUUUGAAAAAANUAAUUUUUUCAUUCANAUAAAAUUUUGAAAACUUUAAAAAUGAAACUAGGAUUAGAUACCCUAUUAUUAUUAAGUGUAGAAAAAUNUAGGUAGUAGUGGAGGACUUGAAACUUAAAGAAUUUGGCGGUGUUUUAAUCUUACUAGAGGAACUUGCGUUUUAACUCGAAAUUUCACGUUUUAUCUUACUUAAAUUGAAGUUUGUAUAUCGUCGUAAAAAUAAAACUUUAAAGUGUAUAUUUAACCUUAUUAAAAUAAAAAAUUACAGAUCAAGGUUCAGCAGAUGUUUAAGNCUAACGUGAGUUACAAUAUUCNUUUAGAUAAAUGGAUAAAUUCUUNNGAAAAAUAAGUUUUGAAGGUGGAUUUAGAAGU